rnacentral:rRNA from 1 species
AGAAUCAACGCUGGCGGCGUGCCUAACACAUGCAAGUCGAACGAGAAAGGGGCUUCGGCCCUGAGUAUAGUGGCGUACGGGUGAGUAACACGUGAAUCAUCUACCUUCGAGUGGGGAAUAGCUGAGGGAAACCUUAAUUAAUACCGCAUAAUACCCAAGGGUCAAAGCAAGUAAUCGCGCUUGAAGAGGAGUUCGCGGCAGAUUAGUUAGUUGGCGGGGUAAUGGCCCACCAAGACGAUGAUCUGUAUCCGGCCUGAGAGGGCGCACGGACACACUGGAACUGAAACACGGUCCAGACUCCUACGGGAGGCAGCAGUGGGGAAUUUUGCGCAAUGGGGGAAACCCUGACGCAGCAACGCCGCGUGGAGGAUGAAGUAUCUCGGUACGUAAACUCCUUUCGAUGGGGAAGAUAAUGACGGUACCCAUAGAAGAAGCCCGGCUAACUUCGUGCCAGCAGCCGC